rnacentral:rRNA from 1 species
UAUAAAUAAUUCUACUUUGAAACUGCGAAUGGCUCAUUAUAUCAGUUAUAGUUUAUUAGAAAUAAUUUACUACUUGGAUAACCGUAGUAAUUCUAGGGCUAAUACAUGAGUAAAUCCUCGACUUUGAAGAGGUGUGUUUAUUAGUAUGAAAACCAUAUGCUUUUGCAUAAUAGUGAGUAAUAAUAACCUUUCAUAUCGUAUGUUGUAAUAACGAUAGUUCUUUCAAGUUUCUGCCCUAUCAGCUUUCGAUGGUAGUGCAUUGGACUACCAUGGCAGUAACGGGUAACGAAGAAUUUGGGUUCGAUUUCGGAGAGGGAGCCUGAAAGAUGGCUACCACAUCCAAGGAAGGCAGCAGGCGCGUAAAUUACCCAAUCCUGACAUAGGGAGGUAGUGACAAUAAAUCACAAUGCGGGACUUUUAGUUUUGCAAUUGGAUUGAGAACAAUGUAAAAGAGUUAUCGAUAAACAAUUGGAGGGCAAGUCUGGUGCCAGCAGCCGCGGUAAUUCCAGCUCCAAUAGCGUAUAUUAACGUUGUUGCAGUUAAAAA